rnacentral:lncRNA from 1 species
CUGGGAAGCACUGGGUUUCCUAGAACUCUGUAGAGAAUUGAGCUCAGUUGUCUUCAUUGGAAUCCCCAUUUUGGGACGGAGGUCCCUUCCAACCCAGCCAUCCCAUGAAGCGGCAAUGAUCCCAGGAGCUGCGGGGCGAGGAUCCAAAAUCUGACCCAAUUCCUGAUCCAAAACCUGCCUGAAGGGCUUCGGGCUCUCAGCUCUGGGCCCAUCCUCACCGUGCUGCAGGACCAGCCCCGACGUUUCACCUCCAUUCCCCACCUGCAGCAUCGCAUUUACCACUUCCCUCAGCAUCUCCCCUGGCAGCGCCAUUUCCCAUUGGGACAUCGAUGCCCUCUCGUCGGGUUCCUCUCUCUCAGCACCCGGAUGGGCAAAGCAAAAGGCAGAAGAGCGGCGUUCUGUGCCGGUGUCACUUUUCUCCCAGCCAACAAACAGAAGUUUUAUUAGCGAAACCCUCUCGGAUGCCGCAUUCCAGCUUGGUAACAUUUCGGUAACACAUUGCAAACGUUUGACUCAUAGAAACUUGGAAGGCUGCAGCCGGGGGAGGGGGAAGAGCGUCACAUUCCCAUUCCCGGGCAGGGUUUGGUUGUUGGGUUUUUCUUUUUCUUUUUCUUUCUUUUUUUUUUUUUUUGUAAAGAACUGAAACUUCUCUCUGUUUAAUGAAAAAAAAAAGUGUUGGAGCCGGCCGCUUUGGGCUCGCAUUGUGUUUGCAGCGAGGGGAUGGGGGAGGAGGGCUGCUGCCAAGGGAGGAACCGAGGCAGCUGAACUCGCUUUUCUUCGGCGAGUUUUUUUUCUCCCUCUGUGUUCCCAGGACAGGGUUGGCUUUCUAGGUUUGAUAAAGCAUUUCCUUCCAUUGUCAUUCUAUACGGCCUCUGGGCCCUUUGCUCAGUCCCUCCCCUUUCGCCUUCCCCUCUCUUUUCUCUUUCUCUCUUCCUGAACUUCAGUGAAUCUUGAGAUAUAAAGAAAGCAGCUGCCUCCCCCCGAGCACAUCUCGGACAAUGCGGCCGCAUCUCCAAGGGCUUUAACUCCUCUGGAUGCAAGGACAAAGCCACGGAUCUGCUGUCUGUGCUGAAAUCUGAUUCGUAGGAAACAGUAUCUGAGUUCGGGAAAUGCCACGGGGUGUCUGAGGCCUUUGGGACCGGGCAUGGAAAAGAGCAGCCCCCAAAGCCUGUUGUAAUCCUCUGUGCCAAAAUGAGAUAAGAAAGCCUCAAAGCUUUAUUACAGCAGGAAUCCGGCCAGGUGAAGGGGACAAACCUGGUGGUGGCUGGAGGAGGAAGAGGAGGAGGAAGAGGAGGAGGAAGAGGAAGAGGCUCUUCUGGCAACCACUCAGCCCAACCACGAGGGAUAUUGGAUUGUGCUUCUAAUCUGGAUGAGUGGAAUCCUCCUGGUGUGGGCUUUGGGAGCAGCUGAUGGAAAACAGACAAAAGAGACUGACGGAGGGGGAUAUGGGUUAACAGGGUAAACCUGGGCACGUGCAAACAAUGGGAUUUCGUGUUAAAAAACACUGGAAGAUUGCAGCUGAGAGCAGGAAAUUGGGUCAGGUGCUGAGUGGUUGUAUCUGCUGUAGGAAAGCAGCUCUGGACAGGCUUUGGCCACCGGUGUGGGGAGGCAGGGCGAUGUGCCCCACUUCUCCCAUGCAAUGGGGUACCAUGCAACGGGGUACCCGGGCAGUGCUGAGCCUUCAGUGUGCUUUAAUCUCAUGGGAGCUGAAUUCUUUGGGGGUAAAAAACAGAAGAAAGGAAUGCCUGUGCCAUCAGGUGCAGAUGUGAGGCUGAGGAGAUGGGCUUUGUGCCCUGAGCAUGCAGUGGGAGGCUCUGAAAGGAGAAACCUCCUGGUAUGAGGUGUGAUUCUGGGUGUUACGGCUGGGGAAUUAUCACACAAGGUAUGAAAGAGCAGAACCUGUUGUGCAAAAGUCAAUCAGAGCGCUGAGUCAGAGCAGCCUCAAUGCGUGCUGAGCUUUUUGGACUCCUUAAAAUCACAUUUCUUGGUCCAAUGCAACCCUGCAUGUUUUCCCCCCAUCCCGUCUGUGUUUGUGGCAUUUGCUCAUAGGGAGUUCUGCUCAAUGCAGCAGCUCUGGGCAAUGCUAUGGGGUGCCUGGAUAUGGGAUGGGAGCUGUAGGUGGAGGGGUUUGGGGAUGGGUGAUGGGUUGGGUGGUCGUGGAAGGGCUGCUCCGCUCCAGGGAGGAUCCGAGUCCUUCAGCUAACAGAAAACUGCCACACUCAGCUGAACCCCAUUGAGGGAUAACAUUGGGCUUCACAACUCAGAAGUAAAGGUGGAGAUGGAAUGAAGCAGCAUCAGCUGUGAUACCGACCAGAGCCUGCAGCAGGAGGACACCCCCUGAGCACCGUGCUGCCCGGGACAGCUGUGCUCCCAGCAGGAGCUGAGUGCUCGUAUAAAUGGAGACGAAGCCCUUGGAUGUGAGGCAUCACUGAGUCUCGUUGAUUUCUGGGAGGAGCUGAGAGCCUCACUGCUCCUUCUGCCAUCUUUCCCAGCUCAGUGCCCACAGCCCCCUCCGUCGCAGCCUCCGGGAGUUCAUCUCUGUUCUUGGCACCUUCACAAUGAGGAAAUUGGCCGCCACUUCCACAGCAGCCAGCAACUUUCCAGGGAUGUUGCAUGGAUUUUCCAGCCAGGGAUGGAACGGCCUCAGCAGCCCUUCGAUCCGCCAGCAUAGGGCUGCAGCGCUGCAUCAGGAAGGAGCAGAUGGCGUUUAAAGGAGCAUCCAUGGGCAGAUCCUCCUGCACGGACACGGCCUCGUGUUAUGUGGUUGCAUAGGAGAAUGAAUGCACUUUAAAUGCAUAUGAACUGGCUAUGAUUAGUUAGGAAGUUUUCUUUCCAGAGCAGGAAAUGGGGGAACUGUAAUUAUUUCUUUAACAAACCAGGUGCACCAGGCCAAAAGCCUCAGUGCUGUGAGCACUCAGCAGAUCCGUGCUGGCUGCACCUGAUGGUUUUAAUAUCACUGGCCAAACUGCUCAGUAAUAGAUUUUGUGUGGUGGCCACACAGGAAGGCCCCGGUGCACGUUCCCUUACCCUUCGUAUUUGCUGUCCGUUGCGGGGCUUUGGGUGAUGCUGGAAUCAUUUUUUUUCCAUCAGCCUGCGGUUGGAUCUGCUGCUCUCCGCGUUGGCAUCUCCCGAGUGCAAAAUGCACAGAGGAGAAAGCUGCUGCGUCCUGCCCUGUGCUGGGCCUGGCGGAUGCAUGCGGGUCUGCAAAAGCCAUCAUGGGCUUUGCAGUGCUGGUGCAAACCCACAGCAAGGAGAGGGCCGAGCGAGGUGGUGGGGGGUGCAGAGGGGUGGGGGGUGCAAGGAGAUGGCGUGCAUGGUGCUGCCCCCGUGUCCUUUCCCUGUCUCCAUGUCCUUUCCCUGUCCCCACGGGUCAGCCCUGUUUGCUGCUUGCCCUCCUUUGUUCCUGAAGCACAUUUCUCAUCUCGUCUUGCUGUGAGCAAUGCGGAGGAGAGCUGCCUUUCAAACACGCCGUCCUGCGUCAGCCCCGGCCUCUUUGUUUCUUUUUAGUGUGCUCAGCUUCGUGCUGGGAGUGCAGGGUUUUUCCAGCCAGGACGGUUUGGAGCAUCAGACGUGUGCAGAAUGAGCGAUGCCGGAGCUUCGGGCUCAGCCAGGGCUGGAAAAACCCCCACUCUUUGUUUUGGGCUUGAAGCAAAACCACCUCCUCCACCUCUCCAUGGCUGUGCUUUAAGUCUGGGAAACAGCACGCGUGCAGCAUUCGGUGACACCCAGAGCCCAUAACUCAGGGGAUGGACUCUGCACAGAUCCAUUCCCCAGCAUGGCCGGGCAGCACCUGGAUCCUGCUCUGCCUCCUCACAUCAAUCUCCCAGCUGGGAUUUGUCCAAAAACAAAAGGCUUGCAGCAAGCUGGAAUAACAGCACGAGGUCCCUGGGCGCUGCGCAGCCUGCAGCGUCCUCCAGCCCUGAGAUGAGCAGAGCCUCACGACUGUGUUGCUCACGGGGGUGAUUUAUAGCCCGGGGUCUGUAAGUCCUUCUCUGGAGUAAGAAAGUAUUCCUAUCCCCAUAGCCUGAAUUCAUUAUACUGAAGAUAAGGGAUUCUGCAUUCGAACAAAGAGAAUCUCUGCAGCGGUUUGGAAGGGAAUUCUAGAGCUGUUUGGAAUUUCUAGAGAUGAAAUGAAAUCUCAAAACAAAUCCAAGAGAAGGCACAGAGACCGAGCACGGGCAGCUGGCUGACCAAAGGCUGACCAUGAGCCAGCAGUGUGCCCCUAUGGCCAGAAGGCCGAUAGUAACCCUGUUGGCCAACAGUUGACCAAGGGUUGACCAAAGGCUGACUGGAGCACUGGGCCCAGUGCUGUGUUCCCCAGUUCCAGGCAGACUGGGAACUGCUGGAGAGAUCCUUAUGGAGGGUGCAGAGCUGAUGGAUGUCCUGAUGGGCAAAUGCUGAGAGCCCCAGCACUGUUCACCUGGAGAAGGUCGAGAGGGCAUCCGAGCAACACUUUACCAAACCCAAGCACUGCGGUCACUGUUGGUGCCCACCCCCAUCCCCUCCAUGCUGUGGGGUGAGAGCAGAGCUGGGGACACAGAUGGGGCUCACCGACCCCCCACUGCCUCCUGCACGCAGUGCAACCACAUUGCCACGCAGGGAAGAGGACGAGGGCCCUUCUCAAGGUGACCAGCUUCUUAUUUUUGGCCGCUAUCCCCCUGCUGCUGGAGCUGACCUGGGCUGCGAGCUGUUGAAGUUUUUAGGCCCUUUGUUUGUUUAAUGGAAGCGAUGUUUGUUUUUGAUCACAGGCAUUAGAUAGGCACUUCCUCUGCAUGCAGGAAGCAGUGAUUUCCUGUUCACUCGGCGGCCAACUCUCACUGCGCAGGAAACCUCGCUCUGCUGAGUGUUCACUUUUCGUGCAGCGUUUUUGGAAGUCCUCUCGUGGGGUUGUUUUGUUUUCUCUUUCCCCACCCCAAUGCUGUUGGGUUCCCAUAGGCUCCGGUGGGGCCAUUUCCCCACAUUUGGCUGAAGUCUCCCAAUGAGGUCCAAUACGGAGGCAAGGCAGCAUCACUGCUUUGAUGGUGUUUGUCACACUGUGAUGGUGUUUGUCACCACUGUGGUGGUGUUUCCCACUGUUUGGGUGAGGUUUGCCACUGUUUGGAUGGUGUUUGUCAUCAGUUCUGUGCUACCACCAACAGCACAAGCGCAUCCCUCUGCUUUCAUGGACCCGCUUGGUGCAGAUCCAUGCCUACGAUCACCCCAUUUGCCUCUCCCUGCUGUUCUGCUGAUGCCUAUGGGUUGUUCCGGAUGCAAUUUGCUGUUGAGGAGGGUACAUUUGUACCAGGUCACCUGGACAACUUGCUGUCAUGGGCAGAGUUAAAGCAGGGAGCUGGACCAAGCCUGCCCUGUUUGCUCCUUUCCUUGCUGGGACUUUUAGGCAGAUAAGUGCUCUGUGGGAAUGCUGGUGAUUAUUACUGAUUACCCAAUAAAUUUGUGUGAGAACUCUGCUGUGGGUGCAUGGCUUGUGCUUCCCAGAAUCUUGCUUCUCAUCUCUGCAAUGCUCUUCUGGCUUUGCUCCCUUCUGGCUGCAGCAGCACGCCCAGGUCAGUCCGUAUAGCAUAAUGAAUGGGGACAGAGCUGAUGAUGCUUCCCACCUGGAGAGGUUCUUUUGAGGUGGAAAAGAGGUCCAUAGGACUUCCAGUUGUACCAAAGGCAGCUGGGAUGGGGAUCCCUUGGCAACUCUGUGCAUAGGAGGGUGGUUUUGAUCUGUGUGUUUGUUGGUAUUUCAGAGCUGACCCAGACAGGACUUUGCUGUAGCAGUGUGCUCAGAGCUGUGGCGGCAGAUGCCUCCGGCCACAGCAAGCCUGGACAGGUGGACAGACAGACAUGGCUGUGUGGGAGCAUUCAAUCUGAUGCUGGCCAUCGGUGUCCUCAUCUGCUGGAGCUUUUAAUUACUUUGCUGUUGUAAAAGGGCCCCCUUCGAGGGAGGGGGUUUGUGAUGGGGAGGAACAGAGGGAAUGGGAGAGCUCAGAACCCCACAGCCACGGGACAGACACGUCCUGCAGACACCCAUGUAGGGGAGAGCAUUGGAUGCUCUGCGUUGUGCAAUGGCAGUGAAUGGAGCAGCAUGGUGGAUGGAGGGAUGGGACUGGGAGGAGGGCAGAUGCCUUCAGGGCUCCUCCAGCCCAGGACACCACCACAGCAGCCCCUCCUGCCUGGUUCCUGGAGAGCUCACCGUUCCCCCGGCCCCUUCCGAUCAUUGCACGUCGCUGACAUCAUUGCCAGUUGCCAUGGAAAAGGCAGGUUGUCCAAAACACGACCCCUUGGCCUCAUCCCAUGCGUGUCAGGAAAUGAAGGUUUUACAGCACAACGCUGCAGCAGAGCAGGAAGAGCCGGAGAGGGACCGGCAGCUCGGAGACAGGCACAUGGCUCUGCCCCCUCUGUGAUGGGGAAAUGGAGACCAACUGGGGCUACCAGAUGGAUUUGUGUCUUCUGAGUUAUUUCUGGGCUGCUGGGGAGGCAAGGUGGAGCUUUAAAGUUGGUGCCCAGAGAGAAGGCAAGAAGUCUGCGUGAAGCUCUGAGCAACGCAACAGCAGAUGGUUUCCAUCGUUAAACCCAAGGAGAGAAUGUCUCCUAGGUGAGGUUGUGUUGCUGGAUGUGAGGCUCCUGGCUGGAUGAGGAGACCGGGGUGAUGCGAUGCCUCCCAGCUGAGCUGGGGAUGGGCAGAGAGCAGAGCAAAAGGAGCUGCUUGUUGUGGUGCCAGGAACCAGCCAGCAAUUCUAAAGCCAUCCUGGAGUCAGCGGUCACCAAAAGCCUUGCAGAGAGUGUGGGGGCUUUGGGAAGGGAGCACCAGGUGUUGUGCUGCGGUGGGGUUGGGACGCUGCUGUUCAAGGCAGCCUUUGUUCAGGCAGGAAUUACAACCAGACCUCUCUAUCCUGCAGUGGUCAGAGUGGAGGUGUUUCCCCAAGGGAAAGCUGGAAGCUUUGCUCUUGGAUCCUCCAGAACGGGAGGAAGCACACUGUGUCCUGCCCUGACCACAAAGCAUCCGCUCCCCCGUGCACAAGCAGCGUGCAAAAAGCUCCAUGAAGGCUCCGAGCAGUGGCAGCUCUGCCCGCCCUGCUGGAUUCAGGCAGCCUUCAUGCCACAUCCGUGCUGCAGGAUGAACCCAUCUCCUCCUUAGGUUCUUUUCCCCAUUCAUCCAUGGCCAUGCAUGCAGCCCAGCCCCCCCCAGCAGGCGGUGGACCACGAGCAGGCUGAGCAGCACACUCAUCUGGGGAUGUGCUGGAAAAUUAAAGCAUGGGAGCUUUCUGGUUUUGCAUACCCCAUCCGGGGGCACAGUGCAGGCGCCGAGCAUGGAAAGUGGUGGCAUGACACAUCAGCACUCUUGUUUUGGUCUCACUUUGCUCGAUACCUCACCAGUGCUGCAGUCACUUCACCCACCCGGUAAACAACGGCACGAGCGCGGGGAGCUGCCGGCUCCCUCCCGGCUGUGGGUGUCAGAGGGUUAAAAAUAGACUCCAGAUUUCGGUUGGUGAAUGUGGAGGCAGAGAGCAGAGCGCUGUUUAUCAAUGCCAGGGUUUCCCCUGAGAUGCUGAAAUGAGUCAGAUAAGGGAUGGGUACAACCGUGCUCCGCGCACGGCUCCUUUUGGGGAGCUCAGUGCUGAGGUCCGUGGGGAUGUUUGGUGUGGAUGGGUUCCUACAGGCUACGUUACAGCAUCCUACCCAUCCUUACCCUUCUGUAAGCACUGUCCUCUGCCCCUCCUCAGCCGUGAAAGCACCAUGGGCUGCUCAGCUGGCUCAGUUCCUCACUGGGUUUUGAGCCCAUGCAGAGGGCAGGGAUGGGCGGGGGGAUGGCUGAGGAGUGUGAUGUCCCAAAGGGACCCAAAAGGCUGCAAGGUGCGCCAGGUUUGUGGUGCUGGGGAGGCUGGAGGAGCAUCAGCCUCCUGUAACAGCGCUGCAGGUGUUGGCUCUGACCUUCCUACCCUGUGCAAAAUUGCUUCCAAUGCAGAGGUCACCAAGCUCCGUGAUGCUGCAAUUUCAGAGGAGCACAAGGGAGGAUUUUGCUGUCUCUGUUGUUGCACUGCUGACAUUUGGGACCUUCAGAGCAGUGGAGCUGUGAGGAUUGCUGCUGGGUCCCUGGGAGCAGCGUGGUGCCAUCGCUGCUGCUUGCAGGAAUCUGAGGGCUCAGAUGGUGGGGUGCAAAGGGCUGCUGGUGCUGCUGCAGCUCUUUGUGGCCCCAGUGAAAUUAGGGCACACAUUUUAGUGCCUUCCUAUCCUGCAUGCUGCAAUAGUUGUGGUCACUGUGGCAGGUCCUCUCCUGUAAGGGCAUCCUAUGCCCUUACACCCCAUCCCUUUGCACAGUGCUUGGGCCCUGGGGUGAUGCAGACCUGGAUGCCCAUCUCCUAAGGCCCAGGGAACAUGUGUUUGGGUCACCCCAGGCUGGGUUAAUGCACAGGGGCAGCAGCAGGCUGCUGUUAGCAGAGGACCAAACUGCUCCCUGUCAGUGUUUCUGAGCCAAGUUGGCAGCUGCUUCAGCUCAGCCCCACGGGGUGGGAGAUGGGGCUAAAACUGCUCCCUAUUUCCAUCCUGUCCCCUCUUGUGCCUCUGCACCUCCUACAUUGGCAUCACCAUCCCAUCCCAUCCUCAUCAGCAUCCCCAUCCCAUUCCUUCAGCAUCCUCAUCCCCUUCCCAUCCCGUCCCAAUCUCACCCAUCCCCUCUCCCUUUGCACCACUGCAACGACAUCCACGCGCGAGGCCCUCGGGAGCCCUUUUUCUCCCAGGGACAGCAUUUUGGAGGAGGGACGGAGCCGGUCCCACUUCCAGAGGCACCCCACGCUGUGGGAUCUGGGCUGGGCUGUGGGGCUGUGUGAAUGGAGCACUUUUUCACACCCGACGCUUUGCUUGUGGAAGCGGCAGCAGCUUCCUGUUUGACUCACACCUGACAGCCCCGCUGUAUGAGUCGGGGCCUCUCGGUGCUUGCAGCAACUGAGUGGGGCUGUUUACAAUUAGAGAACAUGGGAUUCCCAGAAAGAGGCUCAGACCGGACAUCCUGAAGCGAAAUACCCCGGGCGUCACCAGCUAAAAAUAGACACAGCAGAACAGUCACCAAACAAACAGCACGGCUGCGUUGGGUGCAGGGCUGUGUCCCAUGGCGUGGGGGGGGGGGGAGGGGAGGGGGACACACGGUGGCCUUUCCUUCCCCCGUUGUGUUUUUGGGGCAUAACGACGUGAUGCUCCGAAGCGGCAGUGGCGCGCAGUGAUUUGUCUCGGUUUCUG